GACAGAGGUCCCGAGCGUUAGGCGGAAUCACUGGGCUUAAAGCGUGUGUAGGUGGAUGGGUAAGUACCUUGUGAAAUCCCACGGCUCAACCGUGGAACUGCUUGGUAUACUGCCUGUCUUGAGGCACUCAGGGGCGAGCGGAACAAAUGGUGGAGCGGUGAAAUGCGUAGAUAUCAUUUGGAACGCCAAUGGUGAAGACAGCUCGCUGGGGGUGUACUGACACUGAGACACGAAAGCCAGGGGAGCAAACGGG
rnacentral:rRNA from 1 species